GUCGCUCACUGCACGCACGCACCUCCCGCCCCUCUCUCCUUCAGAGACAAGGAAGUCCAGGCAGUGAGUGAGUGACCGCUGCACGCGUGGAGGCUCCUCUCUCUCUCUUUGCAAACAUCAGACGCUCUGUCGCCUCCAAAUGCCUGCCAUGCAAUGCAGUGUGAAGAAUUGAUGGCCCCUGCUGAGUGAAAACAAGAAGGAGUCCUUGUGGCACCUUAGAGCCUAACAACUUUAUUUGGGCAUAAGCUUUCAUGGGCUAAAACCCACUUCAUCAGAUGUAUGGAGUGGAAAAUACAGUAGCAGGUAUAUAUACACAGUAUAUGAAAAGAGGUGAGUUGCCUUACCAAGGGAGGGGGGAGUCAGUGCUAAAGAGACAAUUCAAUUAAAGUGAGCUAUUCUCAAUAGUAGAAUACCAAGGGAGGAAAAAUACUUUUGUGGUGGUAAUGAGAGUGGCCCAUUUCAAACAGUUGACAAAAAGGUUAACAGUAGAGGGAAAUUAGUAUGGGGAAAUUAGUUUUUGUAAUGACCUAUCCACUCCCAGUCUUUAUUCAGGCCUAAUUUGAUGGUGUCCAGUUUGCAAAUUAAUUCCAGUUCUGCAGUUUCUUGUUGGAGUCUGUUUUUGAAGGGAGUUUUUUUGUUGAAGAAUUGCCACUUUUAAGUCUGUUAUUGAGUGACCAGGGAGGUUGAAGUGUAUUUUCUACUCCAUGCAUCUGAUGGAGUGGGUUUUAGCCCACGAAAGCUUAUGCCCAAAUAAAUUUGUUAGUCUCUAAGGUGCCACAAGGACUCCUUCUUGUUUUUGCUGAUACAGACUAACACGGCUACCGCUGUGAAACCUGCUGAGUGGUCACUGUAAGCAACGGAUGGCGGAUUCUUUUAUUGCAUUGCACUUUUAAAAUAACAAACUGUAAGAGACCAGCUGCCUUGGUCUUGCAAUAAGCUUGUGAAUUUUUAUAUUGUUUUUUUUGAAAUGAUCAAACAAAAAUCAAUUAAAACUGAAAGUGCUGUUCUAGCUGAAGAAUAAAUAGGUUUGUAUAUGCUGCAUUAGUACUUCGAGAGGGGAAUCUUUAUGGGACUUAACAACAUAGGACAUGCAAAGAGCAGCCCAGGAUAGACAAGGAAGGUGGAGGCUUGUUUGUGCCCUAAGUGAAUUUUGACAGUGUGGGAAGGAUUCGGAGUCAGAUGUAUGUAGAAGAUAUGUUUUCUUACAUUUCUCUUAAAAGACUAUUACAGUACAAAAAAGUACAUACACACACAUAUGUAGUAGAUAAAGCAGUGUGCCAUAUGGCUCAUCUUGUACAAAGCUGUUGAGUGCUCUUAUAAAUAUUUUACUAGCCCAGCCAUUCUCAAGCUGUGGCUAGCUCUCAGGUGAGUUUCCAGCAGCUGUCUGAGGUGUGUGUGUUGGUGGGAGGGGAGAGCAUAAGCUCCUUCUAAUCACUGUCCUCAUUUCCCAGUGUUUGCCCAGCCAUUGGCAAAUAGGUCUCCUCUAAUUCCAGAAUUAGCUGCAAGUCAGUACGUAGGGAUAAGGCACACUGUGUCUGAUUUACCUGGACUGAAAACAAGAAUGAAGGAGUCCAGACUGCCAUUUGUAGAAAAUUUGGGGUAAUAUUACUGAAUAAACAGAUUGUGAGAUGAGAGGGUUCAGGUUUGAAAUUAAGAGUGUGGGAAUGCAGAACAUUGACUGAGAGAGAAAAACCAUAACAGCAGAUGCAGGAAAGGCUGCAAAGUGAAAAUAUCUCACUUGGGUUUCUUUCAAGGGAAAUUUUACAACUGCAGAUUAAAAUAUAAUAGUUUCCACCCAAAAACUACAUAGGAAGUGAUCCAUCACCUAUGGAAGUCAAUGGAAAUACUGCUAUUGACUUCAGUGGUCACAGGAUCAGGCCCGUAUUCCCUAUAAUCCUAACCUAGAUGUCACAAAUGUCCUUAGGCCUCAGAUUUGAUCUUGACUCUACAAUUGAUGGGUAAAAUGAAAAAUAAAGGCUUGUCUACACAAGAAACUUUUACCAAAUAUACCAGGAAAAUUAUACCAGUAUUGUUAAACCAAUAUAUUUGUACUGAUAUAACCCCCCAUAUAGACACUCUUAUCCCAGCACAAGAGUGGCUUUUUCUGGGUUAGUUUAAACCUCUUCCGAAGCAAUAUAAGCUAAAAUGAAAAAUGGCACUCUUAUAUCAGAAUAAGAAUAAGGGGUCCACAUAGGGGGUUAUACAGGAAUUACUGUAUCAGUUUAAAUUCACAUCUGAUACCACUAUAAGUUUCCCAUGUAGACAAGCCCUAAGACAGAGCCAUCCAUUUCCUCUGGCUCUGUUUCUGGAGCAGAGGUGCAAAGCCAAUAAGAAGUGAAUUGUGUCUGAUUUAUGCUUUAUAUUUCUAUAACUAUUUAAACAUAACAUCAUUAUUACACAUUUUCUUUUUAAAUAGUAAUCAGAGUGGUUUUCUCAUUAACUAAUCACUAUUUGCAGUCUUUUCCCAGCACAGAGGGAAAAGAUCAGUAAAGAAGAAAGAAGUUUAGAGACUGAAGACAAGAGGAAAAAAUCAGUCAUGAACCCGACAAAAUCAAAUACCUGAUUUAUUAGGGAAUGCAUGUGGAGCCAGAUGUUGACGUUAGUCAUGCUUUGCAGCAGCCUAACAAGAUAUCAGCUGAAGUACAAUAAAGGCAUAACAACUGAUUAAGGUGGAAACACAGGACUGGAUACCUCAAACUCUUGAGUCACGUAAGUAACCUUGCUGAUUUCAGUGUGAGCUGCAGAUGUUCAGCACUUGUGAAAAUCAGGCUGUUUUUCUUCCAGCUGCCUAAGUAUGGAGUCAAGGCCCUAAAUUUAGGCCCCUUAGAAGUCAAUCUGCAACUGUUGGCCUAAGGGCUCAGACUUGGAUCCACAAAAGUGACUUAGGCACCUAACUUUUAGGCAUCUAGAAAAUAACAGGAACAAUGCUGUGAACCACAAAACUAGUAUCAGAGGGGUAGCCAUGUUAGUCUGGAUCUGUAAAAGCAGCAAAGAGUCCUGUGGCACCUUAUAGACGAACAGACAUAUAUUAGGUGGGGAAGCCACCUAAACUAGCCAAUGGGAGAUGUAGAGAGAAGUGUGUGUCAUAAGCCCUGCCCCUUUCUCAGAGAUAGGUACCUAAGUCCGGGCUGCAGGGAGGAACCUAUCUCAGGUGGUGAUCUAUGAACGAGGGGAAGAUAAGCACACCUCCGCUUAGUUUGCCUUUGAGGUCAAUCCAGUAGGCAUUCAGAGGCCACCUAACUCCAGCAGGUAAGGAGGAAGAGACCCUCUAUUUUAGCCAGUGGUGAAAGCACUCACCCAGCAUGUGGGAGACCGCGAUUCAACUCCUCUAUUCACCCGAUGAUGAGGAGGGAUUAGAAUAGGAAUCUGCCAUUUCUCAGGUGAGUGGCCUAUAUAGAGUUAUUUUUACUCUUUUACUGGCCCAGUUAAUAUUUAAAUAAUUGAACAAGUUCAACCAGAGAGAUUGAGGGAGCCCCACAUUAGAAUAUCCCAGAGUCUAGGGGUGAGGUUACUCAUCUGAGAAUUGGGAGACUUAUGUUCAAAUCCCUUCUCCUCAUCAAAUGGAGGGGAGAUGUCAACCAGGCAUCUUCCACAUCCUGCAUGAGUGCUUUAACCACUGGACUAAAGGUAGUAAGGAGGUUCAACUCUCUUUUCCCCUCAUGCCAGCCCCCAUCUGUUUCGUGUGGAGUUAGCCUUGAGCACACCUAUCAGAUCAGGGCCCACAUCUGAGUUAGGCAGAGGAGUGCCUAUCUUACCCCAGUUCAUGGAUCACUCUGGUGCUUAGGUGGGAGAUAGGGGCCUGGAUGCCUAGAGUGAGAGAACAGUGCACGUGCCUAAAGGCAGGAACUUAAGGCCCCAGGGAACUUGGACUGAAAAAUCUUAGGUGCAGACUGAGUUUAGGUGCCACAGAGUUAGGUGGAAGCUGAACUAAACUUUGCAGUGAUACCUAAAAUACAACUUACGUGCCUAAGUAUGGGUGUUACACAGCUAAGUACCUUUGUUCAGUGGUUCUCAACCAGGGGUAUGCAUACCCUGGGGGUCCACAGAGGGCUUCCAGGGGGUACAUCAACUCAUACAAUGACUUGUUUAUACUGCUCUAUAUACCGUACACUGAAAUGUAAGUCCAAUAUUUAUAUCCCAAUUGAUUUAUUUUAUUAUAUGGUAAAAAUGAGAAAGUAAGCAAUUUUUCAGUAAUAGUGUGCUGUGACACCUUUUUGUAUUUUCAUGUCUAAUUUUGUAAACAAGUCAUCUUUAAGUGUAACUUGGGGGUACACAAGUCAAAUCAGACUCCUGAGAGGGGUACAGUAGUCUGGAAUUGUUGAAAGCCACUGCCUUUGUGGAUCCAAGCCUGAGUCCUCCAUAUGUACGCUGUUGAACAGACUUUCAAAGGGGGGUUGAAUAUCCACAGUUCCACUGGAAGUCAAGGGACCUGUAGGUGUUCAGCAUUGCUGAAAAUCAGGUUAUUAGGGCGAUGAAUUGGACCUUUAAUAAGAUGCAGGAAUUGGUAGGAAGACCUUGCUUCCACUCAGUGUACCAGAAAGAGAUUGCCACUGGCUGGGGUAUGGAUUAAAUGUUCUAACAGAGCUCUCUUCCCGUCCAAAUAAUUCAGUGAAAGAGUAGGUGACUCUAUCCAGGGCAAUUCAUUUCUGGAAUCAAUGAGAAAUUGCAUUACACAUGAUGUGUGCAAAAUAAUUCUGUCAAAGAGAUGACUGCUAGCAUGGCCAAUUUACCAGAAACAAUCAUUGUUAGUUCUGUGCUCUGAUUAAUCCAGUGGCUUCAUGGCUAACUGUGCUGAGUAAUUUCUUGACAAAAUCAGGUGAAAAAAAUCAGAUCUCAGUAUUCCACAAGGGAGAAAUUGAUUAAACUGACAAAGUAAUUCUUAACAAUUUUACCAUCAGUUUGCUGAACUCAGUUGGCCUGAUUCUGAUCUCAGUUUGACCAUUUUAAAUUUGACUUCUUUGACGUCAGUGGAGUUACUCCUAAUUUACACAGAUGUAAAACAAAAUUAGGCCCAAUGUGUGCAUGUCCUUCACUUUACCACAAAGAGGUCUCCAACCAGGAAUCCUAUAGUCCUUAGUCAGUAGUAUUGUAGGCUCGUUGAUUUUGGUGACACAAUCUAGCAAUUUAUUUUUAGAUGAAGAGAGUAUAUGCAAGUGACAAUACUUACCUGACACUGUUUCACUAUUGCUAUUCAGGAACAAUUGUUUCUUUCUUAUACCUUGAUUCUGUUAUUGGCAAUGGCUGCUGCUGUUACUGCUUUAUUUAUUUUUAUGGUUGGGAAUCGACGGAUAGGGACAAAGGCACUGCUAAACUAACUUCUAUAUACAGUACCAGGAUUGCAACAAAUUGGGAGAAAGCUUGAAAGACUUUAAGAGAUCAGGCCACAAUAAUGAUUAAUAUAACUGAUUAUAUAUAAUGGAUGUAAUUGACCAAGAAAGAAAUAUUUUAUUUUAUGAAACCAUGUCAAAAUCAGUGUGUCAUUUUCCAGAAGUAUUAUAAAUCUGAGAAUAAGUAGAUGGAUUUCUUAGUAUUUGGCCUAUGCAGAAUUAUGAACAAUCCACAUUAAUGGGAGUAAUGUAUUUUUAAUAGGAUUUUGCUUUGCAUAACUACAUUAAGCAAAAUAUUGCAGACUGGUCUGGUUUAAAUUACCAUCUUCAAAUGUAAAACUGGCAUCUAAGAACAUAAGACAAUUACUCUAUUGUCUAGAGGGAAAAAACGUAACCACUGAAUGUUAUCAAAACUGAUUUGAGUGUAAUUAUUAGAAUGAUAGUGUGGAUUAUUAUAGUAUUGGUUACAAACAUCAAAAUGAAUCCACAGAUUAGUCAGAACAUCAAUCUGCCUUACUUGUAUCUAUCAGAAAUUUAAUGACUGCAGAGAUUUUGUUUUCAUGAUACAGCAAAAGUCAGGAGAUAUUGCUGGGUUUGGUGAACUCGGAACCUUUUUAUAGGAACAGGCUUCCAGCUGUUAAAUAUUGUGUUACCACUGCCUUAUAUGUAAGGAAGCUGAAUUAUUUUCUUUAACAUGGCUAUAUAUGAGCCCAUUACAAGAAUCUAGCCGGAACAAGGAGCAGACUCUUGAAAACAAAUCAAAACCUGUCUGAGGAAGAGAUUAAAAAUAGAUCUUCUGAAUUCACUAAUACGCAUUUCAAUUAAUAUCCUACUGUCAUAAAUAUAAAAGGAAGGGUAAACACCUUUAAAUCCCUCCUGGCCAGAGGAAAAACCCUUUCACCUGUAAAGAGUUAAGAAGCUAAGACAACCUUGCUGGCACCUGACCAAAAUGACCAAUGAGGAGACAAGAUACUUUCAAAGCUGGGGGGUGGGGGAGAACAAAGGGUUCUCGCUGUCUGUGUGUUGCUUUUGCUGGGACCAGAGCACGAAUGCAGCACACAACAGCAGCAGCACGAAUGGUACCAUUGCCAUGAAUGUUGCGUUGGAAACCCCAGUUGGUGAAGGAUUACAAGAAUUCUGCUCCCUAAGGACAACAUGUUCUUCUCUGAUCUGCACUGAGGACCCAAGGUAAGGAGCG